rnacentral:tmRNA from 1 species
GGGGAUGUAAGGUUUCGACGGAUUUUUGAAGAUAUUAUAAGCGAGUAGUGGAUUCUCGUUGGCCACUAUAAAAACGAGAAAUUAAAAUUAAACGCAGAUAGACAAUUUGCAAUGGCUGCCUAGUUUAUAGCAGCGGUUUUUAUUUACUUUGCUAGAGAGUAGAUAAAGGCUUCAUAACUAUCUAGCUAACAAAUUUAUCUAAAGAUUGUAGGAUAAAGGGUAAGUACAAUCAUAUUACUACAUUUUUUGUAAAUGUUUUAUUGUGGUAAUAUUAUUUAAACAUUUACUGCACUCGGAGAAAGUAAUAUUAACGAAUUUUCGGACGUGGGUUCGAUUCCCACCAUCUCCACCA